AGCAGCCGCGGUAAUACCGGCGGCCCGAGUGGCGGUCACUAUUAUUGGGCUUAAAGCGUCCGUAGCCGGGUUGGGAAGUCCUCCGGGAAAUCUGGCCGCUUAACGGUCAGAAUGCCGGGGGAUACUCCCAGCCUAGGGAGCGGGAGAGGCCGAGGGUAUUCCCGGAGUAGGGGUGAAAUCCUAUAAUCCCGGGAGGACCACCUGUGGCGAAGGCGCUCGGCUGGAACGCGUCCGACGGUGAGGGACGAAGGCCAGGGGAGCAAACCGGAUUAGAUACCCGGGUAGUCCUGGCUGUAAACGAUGCGGACUUUGUGUCGGACAAGCUAUGAGCUUGUCCGGUGCCGGAGGGAAACCGUUAAGUCCGCCGCCUGGGGAGUACGGCCGCAAGGCUGAAACUUAAAGGAAUUGGCGGG
rnacentral:rRNA from 1 species